AUUUAAGUAAUUUAAAAAAAAAUAUUAAUUUGUGGAGUUAAAAAUAUGAAAUAUCAUCUUAAAUUAUUAAUAAAAAUU
rnacentral:tRNA from 1 species